rnacentral:tRNA from 1 species
GGGCUGCAGUUCAGUGGUAGAGCACCCGCCUUGCACGUGUGAGGCACUGGGUUCAAUCCUCAGCAGCACA